rnacentral:rRNA from 1 species
UAGGGAAUCUUCCGCAAUGGGCGAAAGCCUGACGGAGCAACGCCGCGUGAGUGAUGAAGGUCUUCGGAUCGUAAAACUCUGUUAUUAGGGAAGAACAUAUGUGUAAGUAACUGUGCACAUCUUGACGGUACCUAAUCAGAAAGCCACGGCUAACUACGUGCCAGCAGCCGCGGUAAUACGUAGGUGGCAAGCGUUAUCCGGAAUUAUUGGGCGUAAAGCGCGCGUAGGCGGUUUUUUAAGUCUGAUGUGAAAGCCCACGGCUCAACCGUGGAGGGUCAUUGGAAACUGGAAAACUUGAGUGCAGAAGAGGAAAGUGGAAUUCCAUGUGUAGCGGUGAAAUGCGCAGAAAUAUGGAGGAACACCAGUGGCGAAGGCGACUUUCUGGUCUGUAACUGACGCUGAUGUGCGAAAGCGUGGGGAUCAAACAGGAUUAGAUACCCUGGUAGUCCACGCCGUAAACGAUGAGUGCUAAGUGUUAGGGGGUUUCCGCCCCUUAGUGCUGCAGCUAACGCAUUAAGCACUCCGCCUGGGGAGUACGACCGCAAGGUUG